AAUCCUCCGGUGUGAACUUCUCCCAGGGCUGUUGAUGCUUCAUCUACUCUUCUGGCAGUGGGGGCCUGGACCUUAGUUACCCGGGGAGCGUGAGUCAUGUUGCACAGUUGAGCUGGCACAUAAAACUGCGAGUCACACCAGAAGAGGGCAUUGGAUCCCACUAUAGACUGUUGUGAGCCACCUUGUGGUUGCUAGGAAUUGAACUCAGGACCUCUGGAAGAGCAGUUGGUGCUCUUAACUGCUGAGUCAUCUCUCCAGCCCCAGNUCCAGUCCUGACUUCUUUCAGUGAUGAACAGCAAUGUGGAAAUGUGUUCUGCCCAGUUUAUAGAGCAAGGAAUUGAAGCUUGGAGAAGAUUGAUGGACCACUCAAGUUCUCUGGAUGGUCCAGGAUGCAGACUGAGGCUGGCCUAAAACGUUAGUUUUGCUGACUCCCUGUGCUUGGCUAACCUUAGAGCCUCUUACCUUGCCAUAGUCUUUUCUAUGAAGGACAGAGAGCCAAGGAGUGGACCAACAUGCCUGAGUUUACACAGUGGACCUGAGGACCUUCACCUCCCAGUGCAAUGUUCCUGUGUACUGCCACUGAAGAGACAGGUGGGAGGGAGCUCAAGGUUGAUUUGCCUAACAACCAUUGCUUGAAAGACAAAGCUCCCAAGGAGAGCACAAGAUACCUCACUCGAGACUCCUCUGCAUCACCAACCAGUGUGAACAAAGCCUGCAGCUGUCAGCAGAGUAUUCUUUGUCUCGGUGACACGCUGUGCCUACAGUUGGACU
rnacentral:lncRNA from 1 species